GAUCUGUCUGAAUCUCUAUGUGUACGUUGAAGACACCAAAUUCUGACUUUUAUUCAACAGGAGAGAAGGACACCUUUUGACUGUGUUUGCGAGCUACAUUGAAGCUCUAUUCUGCAUUACCUGAUCUAGGGGUUUUAGCAUCUUGAAUUUCCAAAAUUUAUCUAAAAGACCUGGGUUUAGGAAAAUAUUUGCAAAUGUAUACCAAGAAUAUGUAUCAUACCAGUCCGGCACUUCCAACAAUAUAAAUGUACACAGAAAAAAAAAUGAUUUAAUUAAUAGACCAUAAAAGUGUAACCAUCUAUAUAAGUGUAUUUUGUCAAAUUUUGGAUUUUAACUGACAGAUAUUAGCCAAACUGAAGAUGUCAUAUUUAAUUAGUUCACAUUUGUUUCAAAAAGGCAAAGCAAGAC
rnacentral:lncRNA from 1 species